AUAUCAAUAAGCGGAGGAAAAGAAACUAACCAGGAUUCCCCUAGUAACGGCGAGUGAAGCGGGAACAGCUCAAAUUUUAAAUCUGGCCGGCGUUGUCGCUCAGAGUUGUAAUUUGAAGAAGCGGUUAUCACGUUUUCGUUCGGGUUCAAGUUCCUUGGAAUAAGCCAUCAGAGAGGGUGAGAAUCCCGUCUUUGAUCUGGUUGUUGGCGGUACGAUGCGUCCUCUAAGAGUCGAGUUGUUUGGGAUUGCAGCUCAAAAUGGGUGGUAAAUUCCAUCUAAGGCUAAAUAUAGGCGAGAGACCGAUAGCGCACAAGUA
rnacentral:rRNA from 1 species